rnacentral:lncRNA from 1 species
CAUGCUCAGCCCAUACAUUAAAGAAUUUGAAAGUCUUUUUCCCAUGCCAGGAAGAUGAUGCUAGUGUCAUUAUCAUGGGAUUAUGGUCUGAGAUUAAAGGCAGGUCAUAAUCAGUUACCACUUGGUUCCAUUUGAUCAUCCAUUCAUAGUUACCAAAGACUCUGUCCAGUCUACUGCAUACUCUGUCCACACCAGUUUGUUUAUUUGUCCAUGUGUAAUAGUCACCCCUCCAAGGCAAUUCUGAC